rnacentral:rRNA from 1 species
AAAUGAAUAGACGGGGGCCCGCACAAGCAGUGGAGUAUGUGGUUUAAUUCGAAGCAACGCGAAGAACCUUACCUGGUCUUGACAUCCCGAUGACCGGCUUAGAGAUAAGCUUUUCUCUUCGGAGACAUCGGUGACAGGUGGUGCAUGGUUGUCGUCAGCUCGUGUCGUGAGAUGUUGGGUUAAGUCCCGCAACGAGCGCAACCCUUAUUGUUAGUUGAUACAUUUAGUUGAUCACUCUAGCGAGACUGCCGUUGACAAAACGGAGGAAGGUGGGGACGACGUCAAAUCAUCAUGCCCCUUAUGACCAGGGCUACACACGUACUACAAUGGCAGUCAUACAGAGGGAAGCAAAGCUGUGAAGCAGAGCAAAUCCCUAAAAGCUGUCCCAGUUCAGAUUGCAGGCUGCAACUCGCCUGCAUGAAGUCGGAAUUGCUAGUAAUCGCGGAUCAGCAUGCCGCGGUGAAUACGUUCCCGGGCCUUGUACACACCGCCCGU